rnacentral:lncRNA from 10 species
GGCAGGGACUCGCUGGACUGUGAGGAGAAGCAGUGUGUCCUCACCUUUCCACCUUCCUCUGGCCACAGCUUUAGCUGCUGAAUGAUAACAAGGCUGCCUGCCGAUCUCAUAAGAGGGCAUCUUGGGCAAGGCAAGGAGAAAGGGCUUUGGAGUCUUGAGUUCAAAUCCCGGCUCCCCCAGCUGCUGUGCAACCGUGAUGUAUGACAGCCUCUCUGGGCCUCAGUGUUUGUAUCUGCAAGAUGAGGCUCUGACAUAGACCUGAUUAGGUUAUGGUGAGGAUUACACAAUCCCUGCUUGAAAGGCACCUGGCUUGUUCUGAGUAAACCCUGUGACUCCCUUUAAUUCCUGGUGGGUGGCUUGCUUGUGCCCUCAUGAGGUUCAGCACUUGGCAGUACCCUGUCACCUGUUCAUCAUUAGCAAUGACGGACGCAAUGCUUCCUCUGUGACAAAGCCUCAUCCGACAGAGCAGGACUGCAGGGCUUCUCCAGGGCUUGGGGAGGGGGACAAGGGCAGUGCGCACAGUUCCUUUUUGUUUGCUGAUGCCACACUAGGCACGUGAAAGGGCUGGGUCAGAGAACCCAGCUUGGCCCACGCUGUCUCGGUUGGUGGCCGUCCUCACCUUCCUCACCCUUCAGAUCCCGUAGGGAGCCCCUGCGGUGGUGCCAUGGACGGGAAGCAUCCCACCGUGCUUGUGGCUCACCUCGAGGUCCAGGUGUCACUGCAUGGCCUGAAAAGGACUGUCUCCGAGCAGAACAAGCUCAUGACCAAGAACAAAGAGGACAUCUUGACCGUGUAAGUAAUGAUGACCGCUCUGUCCCCAGCUCAUAGGGACCCUGAGGACUCCAGGUUGCCUCCCUAUGUUGGCUCCUGAUUCAAGCAGAUGGCAGGGGGGUGUGUCCCAAGGAGCUGGGUGCUGAUGUCAGGAGCCCAGCACCCUUGUGGAAGCCAAGAACGACACUGAGGGGGCAAGAAGAGACUGUGAUGAGCUAAGUGAUGGUGUUGUCCCCAGCACGCAACAAGGGCUGGUGCGGCAACUGGCGACCUGAGAGGGAGGGCUGGUCCCAGCAGGGAGGUGUUCAUAGAAGGGAGAGAUUUUCGGUGAGGAGUGGCAGCACAGUCAUUCUCAACCCAGUGUGUCUUGGGAGAUGCCUAUGGGGUGGAAGUUGGAUGAUCAGGCUGUUAUUGGGUCAAUCUGAUUCAAGGAGAGGGAGGAGAGGUGACGUGGCCAGAAGGAGGGCAGGAGGGUGGACAGCAGAGAAUGCAGCCGGCCACCCGGGCCAUCCCCCUUGCCUCCACUCACUCAUCCUUUCCCACCCCUGGGCCGAGGAUGCGUCUCAUUAGGUAGUUUUCAGAUGGGUAAACUGAGGCAGGAGCCAUUCCAGGCCCAGAGAGGAGAGCCAGGAAGGCACGUGUUGUAAUCCCUGGGUUAGUUUUUCAUUCACACACAGGGGAACCUCUCCAGCCCUGCCACUCACUAGUUUUAAGAGGCUCAAGUGUUCUGAUUCCUGGCAGCAGCAACGUGGUAAUGCUUCUUUCUUGUUCCCUCCCUGAUCCCUUCUUCCCUCAUGCUUGAGGGCUUGGCCCCGCUUUUCUCCAUGUAUUUCCACCAGGGUGCCACACUGCCUGGAAUUGCAACCGCUGGGGCCUUGUCCAGUUUAUUAUCUCUCACCACAGGUGCAGGAAGGAGGCAGGGAGCAGGGCUGUGUCGCAGAGCAAGGCCAGGGCAUCCCACCCCACCAUGGCCGCCCAUCCCCAUGGCCUCCCUCAAGAUCAGGAAACUGCUCCACAUUGCAGUAACUAAGUGCACCAGGCGUGGCUGCUGGUGAGGGGUGGUCAGGCAGCACCUGUGGCCAGCCUAAAGGAAGGUCAAGGUUUGUGAAGGCAUCUGGUGCCUCCCCUGUUGAAAUUUCUUUUUCUCCUCCUUAUUAGUUGAAUCUUAAGAAUUGACAGUACCAUAAAACGUGAAACCUUUAUUUCUGCUUUUUAAAUGGAAAACCGGGCUGGGCACAGCGGCUCAUGCCUAUAAUCCCAGCACUUUGGGAGGCUGAGGUGGGCAGAUCGGCUGAGGUCAGGAGUUCAAGAUCAGCCUGGCCAACAUGGUGAAACCCCAUCUCUACUAAAAAUACAAAAAUUAGCCAGGCAUGGUGGCACAUGCCUGUAACCCCAGCUACUCAGGAGGCUGAGGCAGGAGAAUCGCUUAAACCCAGGAGGCGGAGGUUGCAGUGAGACGAGAUUGCGCCAUUGCACUCCAGCCUGGGUGGCAGAGUGAGACUCCACCUCAAAAAAAAGAAAAAAGGAAAACCAAGCAAAAGUCACUGUCAGGGGACCUCCCACCCACCAUACAGGGGAACACUCGGCAGAGCCAGAGGCCUGGGCCCAAGUCCUGCCACCAGCUGGCUGUGAAACUGUGGUACAGCACCUUGUGUCCUGCCACCAGCCGGCUGUGAAACUGGUACAGCACCUUGUCCUCAGGUCCUUGGUUUCCUCACUUGUAAAUUCAUGGUUCUCCAUGGCAUCUCUGGUCUUCAACAUUAUUUUGCAUAGAGUCUCAGAAGCUUUAGUGUGAGCGGAUGAUAUGGGCACGAAGCAAGGCACCCAGAAGUGGGGGCAACUACUCUGCUUUCUAAAAUGCAAGGGAACCGGAAAAUCCAGGAGCCGUGCCAAAUGAGAAGAGGAACAAAUGGAGGAACAUCCCAGUCAAGUGACAUUCCUAGUGACAUUCACCAGAACAGAGUCAAGCUUUGGAUCCCAUGUUCUGUGACUUCCUCUUCACCACGCUUCCUCCACACACGUAGCAGCUCAAGGGUUUCUGAUGAGUGGGGUCUAUGUUCCCUUUAUGAGCUGUAACGCACACCAUGAAGGUCUGCGGCUUGGCUAUUGAGUCAGUGAGAGCGUGAACCUACUAUUAGAAGAAAAACUCUGAAUACGUCUGAACGUCAGAAAGAACGAAGUUUGGACACAUUGUCUUUAAGAACUGUAACACUCACCCCAAGGGUUUAUGGAUUCAUUCUUGAAAUCAGUGAAACCAAAAGCUUUCCAAAGUUUAACACACAGGGAAAUGACUUACUGCAAAGAACCACUCUUCCCCACGAGACUUCGAGAAGACCCGCUGUCACGGACUGAGUUGUGUCCUCUUAAAAUUCAGAUGUUGGAGUCCAAACCCCCAGUAACUCAGAGUGUGAACGUAUUUGAAGAGGUCUUUAAAGAGGUGAUGAAGGGAGAGAGACCCCAUGAGCUCGUCAAGCUCCUUCUGUGACUGAUCAGAGAUCCCACCGUGAGUCCAGCUCCUGGUCCCAUGCUCUGGAUAUAUCGGUCCCUGGCAGCGUGCAGUCUUCUUUCCACCAAUGACCCCUCGCGCUGCUUCCAGAAGCCAAGAAAGUGGGCUUUGUCCUUGGGGAUUUAGGAGGCGGAGCGGCGCCCCCUUGAGGCCACAUGGUGGAGGCAGCGAUGAGACCUGGAGUCUAAAAUUCAGACUGAAUCACAGGAAGAAGCUAUUUACACAAGUCAAACAUGGUCCAAUCUUGGCAAUUUCAUAAGGUUCCAAUCCUUAAGGGAUCAAAACCUGGCCAACUGCUUCCACCGAGAGGUGUGCCUUUCAAUGCCAGGCUUGGAGUGUCCCUCUUUAUUUAAAAAGGAGAGGAUUCCACAGCAGAGCUUCUCAAACUCUUCCACCCAAAUCCCCUCACCACAGAGGGACAGGAGUCCUGGGCAUGUAGCCUAAAGCAGCCAGGAGAAAAAAACCUUGACCUUAAUUUUUUUAAUGAUUUCACAUGAAUCAGUGGAAUGUGUUUAUGAUAAAAUCAUCUCCUCCUGAAAUACAUGUGUAAAACUGCUGCCCCAGUUAAACGCACUUAGUCUAACCAAGCCCUAGGAUUGGCCUCUCCAGCAUGAGAAGCAUUUCCAGCACUCCAGCUCCCCAGCUCCCACUCUGGGAUCCCACCUCAGACCCUCCCACUUCCUUGCACUCUGGCCUCUCGCUCUUGACCCUGCUCCCGCCACGCUCUUUCCUCAGAGUCCAUCAGUCCUGUCUUGUCUUCACCUUGGUCUCUGCCAAGUGUGGGUCCAAGUCAUAUAUUUGGGCUGUGAUCACAGGAACCCCAAGCCCCAGACCUCCCAAAGCACCCUAUGGAGAGACCUUACCCUCCUGGACAGACCCUCUCCCCCCAGCUAGACCUCAUCCUCUGGGUAGACCCAUCUCCCCAACCAGAACUCACCCUCCUGAGUAAACCCCAUCCCCCUAGCUAGACUUCAUCCUCCUGGACAGAUCCCAUCCCCCCAGCUAGACCUCACCCUCUUGGGUAGAUGCAUCUCCCCAACCAGAACUCUCCUGGGUAGACCCCUUCUACCCAGCUAGACCUGAUCCUCUGGACAGACCCCAUCAUCCCAGCUAGACUUCUCCCUCCUGGACUGUCCCCAUCCCCCCUCCAGCCAGACCUCACCCCUCUGGGUAGACCCCAUCCCCCCAACUAGACCUCACCCUCCUGGAUGGACUCUACCCUCCUGGAGAUACCUUCCCCUCCUGGGUACAUCCCACGUGGCUACACACUCCUUCCCCUGUCAGCUUUCUCCCCCAGGGUUCUGGGCAGCAGAGUCUGUGAUAAAGGAUACUAAGUGAUUCCCCAAUACUUCCCGUUUCCAGCCUCCAGUGGGCUCUCCCUGGGGCUAACGGUUCUUUUUGCUAUUUCUCCAGGCUUUGCCUGAUGACAAGUAUACUCUGAGAGUGUCCUAAUGAUACAGAUUUUGGACCCUAUCCCAGUUCUACUGAAUCCAAGUCUCUGGGGGAGGAGUUGGGGCUCUGCAUCUGGACACCUUCCUGCAGGGUCCCUCCUGGGAGGCAAGCCCGGGGAGCACCGCUGAGGCUCGCCUCAGUGCCCAUCCUAGACCUUCAGCAGCUAGCAGAGGAUGUCCCCACCAUCCCUCAGCCCACACUCCCACUGUCGCCCCAGCCAGGCUUGGCACUGCCUCCUUUCUCAGAAGAUUAAGACCAUCUGCUGUUUCCCAAGUUUCCCACCCUCCACCCUAAAAAUUUCUCCGUUUCCCAGUCUUUCCUCGUCUCUCAGAAAAUAAACAUCUUCCCAGGCUGCCUCCCCAGUGGGUCUGCACUCCUUGCUGUCUUCCCAGCACCUGCCCUUCCAGCCCGCCCUCUGUGUGUCCAGUGUUUCCCUCACCAAAGGACUCGCUUUGUUUUUCAAAUUGGAGGUUUUGUCUUCUCCCUAAAAACCAAAACAUCUCCCUGAGAAGUAACUCCCUCAAGCUACUGAUACGGAAGGGGGGCGGGGAAGUGCUGGGAAGGGAAGGGUGUGGUCCCUGGCUAGGGCUCCACCCCCGGGCCUGUGCCCACAGACCUAGGUGAGGACAGGCAUUUCUGUUUUCGUGCUUAAAUGUUGGAUUUCCCAAGACUACCCUGGCCUACCACACCCUCAUUCUGUGCCUGUAAAAAAACCUGAGAGCUUAGCAGGCACGCACACAAGCCUCUGGACGUCAAGAGGAACACACCGGUGUAAGAGCAGACUGAUAGUGGCCCACGGCAGGCUGGCAGGCCAUCGACAGGCAGAACCACUCAGUGCAGCUGGAGGACAGCCUGGCCACGGAGCGGUCCGACUUCAGAGGGGAAAACCACCUCCCCACUCCGUCUCCCUUCUGGCUCCCCCAUCUGAGAGCUACUUCCACUCAAUAAAACCUUGCACUCAUUCUCCAAGCCCAUGUGUGAUCUGAUUCUUUUGGUGCACGGAGGCAAGAAACCUCAGGAUACAGAAAGCCUCUGUCCUUGGAAUAAGGCAGGAGGUCUAACAGCUGACUAGGGAUGGCUCAACUGAAACAGCAUCCUGUAACACAGGCCCAUUGGGACCUCAGGAGCUGUAAACAUUCACCCUUAGACAUUGCUGUGGGGUUGGAGCCCCACCACCUGCCCAUCUGCAUGCUCCCCCUACAGGUUUGAGCAGCGGGGCACAGAAGAAGCCAGCCACACCUCCAUCGCAAGCCCUGCCACGGGGAUAAGGGAACUUUUCCCGUUUUGCCACCAGCUCAAGCCCCGCCUUCCUGUCACUCCACACUCUUCAUCUCUGUGUAUGGGUGUGGUCUUCCUCAGUUCCUUCUCUGGCCUCACACAGUGCCCUGAAUAAUGCUUUGCAAGGCCUUUGCCAGGAGCCUAGGUGAAAGGCAGAAGAGGUGCCCCUGCAGCAUCGCAAGGUAGAGAUCGUGGUUACAAGAUGGGGACUAGACUCCCAGUUUGCCCUUGGACUGGGCAGCCCCUUGGAUUUUGUUUUCCCUGACGUUGCUGUUCUGAUCCAAGGCCUUGUGGCCUCGCUACAGACACCCAAGGCCAGGCCUAUCUUUGCAUGAAUAACUAAAGAAAGCCUAGAGGAUGAGUAAAAUGACCACACUGUAUGGCUUUGGAGGACUGGAAGUUACUGAGGACUAUGAGUGGGUUUUUUGCAUAGACUGCAGUAAAGGUCCUCAGAAAAGACCCUCAAGAGCUAUGGGGGGGUCUGGUCAAAUGCCACUUCUAGACUGGACUCCAAAACUGGUGCUGAUUAUUUUCACUCCUACCCCACCCACCAGCCUGAUAGGCGAUUCCUGAAGUAGCAGUGGGGCGCUCAGUGGUGCUCACCAGGCCCAGAGCUCAGUCCUUCCCCCAUUCUGCCUGAUGGGGCUUGUGUAACCAAGGAUGACAGAUGGGACAAUCCCUGUUGGUAAAGACUGAGUUGAUUCUGACCAGGACCAGAGAUAAAACCCAGCACCUUUAUCUUUCCCCUUUGUACCUUCUUCAGAAAGACCUUCUUCUGCAGCAGUUCUGGAACUGUGAUCUGUGAGGUGUGGUUGCAAGAAUUCUUUAUUUUUUUAUUUUAUUUUUUUCAGACAAAGUCUCACUCUGUCGCCCAGGCUGGAGUGCAAUGGUGCGAUCUCGGCCCACUGCAACCUCCGCCUCCCAGGUUCAAAUGAUUCUCCUGCCUCAGCCUCCUGAGUAGCUGGGAUUACAAGCAUGUGCCUCCACGUCCAGCUAAUUUUUGUAUUUUUAGCAGAGACGGGGUUUCAUCAUGUUGGUCAGGCUAGUCUCAAACUCUUGACCUCAUGAUACACCUGCCUUGGCCUCCUGAAGUGCUGGGAUUACAGGCGUAAGCCACCACGCCUGGCCUGGCAAGAAUUCUUUUAUAAAGAAUUCUAGGUCUAUUAAACCCAGAUUCUUCAACUAGAACAGGCACACAGGAAAAAGGUUCACUAAAAACCCUGUUCUCUUGCCUCAUUUUGGUGAUUUCCAGCUAGGCUGUUGGGAUAGGCAUAUGUAAGUGUCACUUCCAUCUUUUCAUAGGUAUCUCACAGAAUCUCUGACCAAUGGAGAGCUAAUCAAAGACAAGUUUAAUAGGUGAAG